CCAAGACAUGUUAAAAAGGUUUGAAGAGGAAGGGCUACAAAAAUUGAAAGAGGCAAUUGUAGAAUACAGUGAAUUACUCUUCAAAGGUUUUAACCUGUUAACGUCCUUUAAAAUUCAAGAGAGGGAAGAUUGUUAAGUACAGUGAGUUCUCAGUUCCUCUUCAAAGAGCCAAUAAGUCAAUAUGUUCAGCUUCUCUGUUCUUUGUUCUCCAUUUUAAAGUUUAACUUCCUCAUUCUUUAUGCCUCCUUGCCCCUAGUUUCAGUAAACGACCCCCUCCUAGUCCCUAUCACCUACUCUGUCCUUAGUCAUUCUUAGUCACUUGCUCUGUCCUUAGUCAUCUUUAGUCACCUGCUCUGUAACCAUCCUUCCUGAGGAAACUACCCACCCUGCCACUCUGGCUUGCACCCCUGUCCUCUUUGAAGUAGCCGGUCAAAAUUAGCUUAUAGUGUGCGGUCCAACUCUAGCCAAUAGGGGAAAGAUACAGCAGUAGGGACUAUCUGCAUUAGGAAUAAGAACCCUUUCCCCUCCCUUAUCCAGUGUGCUCUUGCCAUUGCUCCAUCCUCAAGACUCACCCUUCUAUAGAAGUAAAUUUGCCUUGCUGGAGUGUUAACUUGUUACUGGAGUGCUAACUCUUCUUUGUGGCACCAAAAAGUUAUUUCCAACACGAAGCUGCACCCUUGGAGGAGGGAACAUCUGACGAAGUUCAAUGCUUGGGGAAAACAAUAUCUGGAAAGAUUGAACAGUCAGCAGGAGAAACACCUAGGAAAAUUACAAGACCUGUGAAAAAAAAUCUGAGAAAUUUGCAUGGCCACAAGAAAGACCUACAAAGACCACAUGUGAGGAAGAAGAAACAUCUGUAAAGACUGAAUGCGUGGCAGGAGUAACAUCUAAUAAAAUUGAAGUUUUGGAAGAAGGAACAUCUAAGAUGAUCACAUGUCCUACAAAAAAACAGCUACAAAAGCAAGUACAAAUGGACAAGAAGAACCAAGAAAGUUCUGAAGAAGAACAGAGCUCAAGAAUGUAUACCAUCAGAUGUCUCCAACUUUAUUACAAUUAAAAUAAGAUGGUAUUAGCAGGACAUACAAAUAGAGAAACCAAAAACAAACUCAUACUUAUACCAUCACCUGACUUAUGACAAAGGUGAAACUGCAGUGCAGUGAGGAAAUAAUAAUCUUCUCAAUAAAUGGUGGUAGAUAAUUUGGAUAUCAAUAUGGGGGAAUAAAAGACUUUAACCCCUGUCUUGCAUCACAAACA
rnacentral:lncRNA from 10 species